GACCUUUUACGUUGUUGCCCGUAUCAUCUGUAGGUGACUUUCAAGUACAUCAAGGCCUCUGUAAGCAUCUCCUUGCGAUCAGCGACAGACGUUUGAACCGUAUAUGCCAAGGUGACCCAGCACGCUGUCAAACAAAAAAUUUAAUGAAAAAAAAGAUGUAUCUUCUACUGCUCUGCGUCGCACUGGCAGUCACUGUAACACUCGUGCUACUACAGAUGAUUAACAAGAAGAUCUUAGGCCGCAGCAACUCCGGCAACGAUAUUCCAGGACUGAAUACCAAAGAUAUCAAACAUGGGAACCUAGAACUGGUAAAAAAACAUGGAAGU